rnacentral:rRNA from 1 species
GGGCUUCUCCUUCGGGAGCAGAGUGACAGGWGGUGCAUGGUUGUCGUCAGCUCGUGUCGUGAGAUGUUGGGUUAAGUCCCGCAACGAGCGCAACCCUUGAUCUUAGUUGCCAUCAUUAAGUUGGGCACUCUAAGGUGACUGCCGGUGACAAACCGGAGGAAGGUGGGGAUGACGUCAAAUCAUCAUGCCCCUUAUGACCUGGGCUACACACGUGCUACAAUGGACGGWACAAAGAGCUGCRAGACCGCGAGGUGGAGCUAAUCUCAUAAAACCGUUCUCAGUUCGGAUUGUAGGCUGCAACUCGCCUACAUGAAGCUGGAAUCGCUAGUAAUCGCGGAUCAGCAUGCCGMGGWGAAUACGUUCCCGGGUCUUGUACACACC